CCUACGGGCGGCAGCAGUGAGGAAUAUUGGUCAAUGGCCGGAAGGCUGAACCAGCCAUGCCGCGUGAAGGUCAGUGCCCUAUGGGUUGUAAACUUCUUUUAUUUGGGAAUAAAAUGUUCCACGUGUGGGAUUUUGUAUGUACCAUAUGCAUAAGGAUCGGCUAACUCCGUGUCAGCAGCCGCGGUAAUACGGAGGGUCCGAGCGUUAUCCGGAUUUAUUGGGUUUAAUGGGAGCGCAGGUGGAUUGUUAAGUCAGUUGUGAAAGUAUGCGGCUCAACCGUAAAAUUGCAGUUGAAACUGGCAUUCUUGAGUACAGUAGAGGUGGGCGGAAUUCGUGGUGUAGCGGUGAAAUGCUUAGAUAUCACGAAGAACUCCGAUUGCGAAGGCAGCUCACUGGACUGCAACUGACACUGAGGCUCGAAAGUGUGGGUAUCAAACAGGAUUAGAUACCCUUGUAGUC
rnacentral:rRNA from 1 species